GACGGAGGGGGCAAGCGUUGUUCGGAAUUAUUGGGCGUAAAGGGCUCGUAGGCGGACCUGCCAGUCUGACGUGAAAUCUCCACCGCUCACCGGGGAGGGUGCGUUGGAUACUACAGGUCUUGAGUGUAGCAGAGGUUCGUGGAAUUCCGGGUGUAGCGGUAAAAUGCGUAGAUAUCCGGAGGAACACCAGUGGCGAAGGCGGCGAACUGGGUUACUACUGACGCUGAGGAGCGAAAGCCAGGGGAGCAAACGGG
rnacentral:rRNA from 1 species